AUGGCGGGUUGCAGUUAAAGCUCGUAGUUGGAUUUCGGGUGGGGUGGUGCGGUCCGCCUCUGGUGUGCACUGCUCUGCUCCACCUUCCUGCCGGGGACGGGCUCCUGGGCUUCACUGUCUGGGACUCGGAGUCGGCGAGGUUACUUUGAGUAAAUUAGAGUGUUCAAAGCAGGCCUACGCUCUGAAUACAUUAGCAUGGAAUAACACGAUAGGACUCUGGCCUAUCUGUUGGUCUGUGGGACCGGAGUAAUGAUUAAGAGGGGUAGUCGGGGGCAUUCGUAUUCCGUUGUCAGAGGUGAAAUUCUUGGAUUUACGGAAGACGAACAUCUGCGAAAGCAUUUGCCAAGGAUACUUUCAUUGAUCAAGAACGAAAGUUGGGGGCUCGAAG
rnacentral:rRNA from 1 species